AGACCCGAAACCCGGUGAUCUAGCCAUGGGCAGGUUGAAGGUUGGGUAACACUAACUGGAGGACCGAACCGACUAAUGUUGAAAAAUUAGCGGAUGACCUGUGGCUGGGGGUGAAAGGCCAAUCAAACCGGGAGAUAGCUGGUUCUCCCCGAAAGCUAUUUAGGUAGCGCCUCGUGAAUUCAUCUCCGGGGGUAGAGCACUGUUUCGGCUAGGGGGCCAUCCCGGCUUACCAACCCGAUGCAAACUGCGAAUACCGGAGAAUGUUAUCACGGGAGACACACGGCGGGUGCUAACGUCCGUCGUGAAGAGGGAAACAACCCAGACCGCCAGCUAAGGUCCCAAAGUCAUGGUUAAGUGGGAAACGAUGUGGGAAGGCCCAGACAGCCAGGAUGUUGGCUUAGAAGCAGCCAUCAUUUAAAGAAAGCGUAAUAGCUCACUGGUCGAGUCGGCCUGCGCGGAAGAUGUAACGGGGCUAAACCAUGCACCGAAGCUGCGGCAGCGAACGUAUCACCCAAGACAACUUUACGGAGUUGACGAUUGACGGAGCGAAGCGACGUCAAAGCGUUCAUUAAAGUCGAGUUGGCUUAGGGAUACGUUCGUUGGGUAGGGGAGCGUUCUGUAAGCCUGUGAAGGUGUGUCGUGAGGCAUGCUGGAGGUAUCAGAAGUGCGAAUGCUGACAUAAGUAACGAUAAAGCGGGUGAAAAGCCCGCUCGCCGGAAGACCAAGGGUUCCUGUCCAACGUUAAUCGGGGCAGGGUGAGUCGACCCCUAAGGCGAGGCCGAAAGGCGUAGUCGAUGGGAAACGGGUUAAUAUUCCCGUACUUGGUGUUACUGCGAAGGGGGGACGGAGAAGGCUAUGUUGGCCGGGCGACGGUUGUCCCGGUUUAAGCGUGUAGGUGUGUGUUCCAGGUAAAUCCGGUUCACUUUAACACUGAGGCGUGACGACGAGGCACUACGGUGCUGAAGCAACAAAUGCCCUGCUUCCAGGAAAAGCCUCUAAGCAUCAGGUAACACGAAAUCGUACCCCAAACCGACACAGGUGGUCAGGUAGAGAAUACCAAGGCGCUUGAGAGAACUCGGGUGAAGGAACUAGGCAAAAUGGUGCCGUAACUUCGGGAGAAGGCACGCUGACACGUAGGUGAAGUGAUUUACUCAUGGAGCUGAAGUCAGUCGAAGAUACCAGCUGGCUGCAACUGUUUAUUAAAAACACAGCACUGUGCAAACACGAAAGUGGACGUAUACGGUGUGACGCCUGCCCGGUGCCGGAAGGUUAAUUGAUGGGGUCAGCGUAAGCGAAGCUCCUGAUCGAAGCCCCGGUAAACGGCGGCCGUAACUAUAACGGUCCUAAGGUAGCGAAAUUCCUUGUCGGGUAAGUUCCGACCUGCACGAAUGGCGUAAUGAUGGCCAGGCUGUCUCCACCCGAGACUCAGUGAAAUUGAACUCGCUGUGAAGAUGCAGUGUACCCGCGGCAAGACGGAAAGACCCCGUGAACCUUUACUAUAGCUUGACACUGAACAUUGAGCCUUGAUGUGUAGGAUAGGUGGGAGGCUUUGAAGUGUGGACGCCAGUCUGCAUGGAGCCGACCUUGAAAUACCACCCUUUAAUGUUUGAUGUUCUAACGUGGACCCGUAAUCCGGGUUGCGGACAGUGUCUGGUGGGUAGUUUGACUGGGGCGGUCUCCUCCUAAAGAGUAACGGAGGAGCACGAAGGUUGGCUAAUCCUGGUCGGACAUCAGGAGGUUAGUGCAAUGGCAUAAGCCAGCUUGACUGCGAGCGUGACGGCGCGAGCAGGUGCGAAAGCAGGUCAUAGUGAUCCGGUGGUUCUGAAUGGAAGGGCCAUCGCUCAACGGAUAAAAGGUACUCCGGGGAUAACAGGCUGAUACCGCCCAAGAGUUCAUAUCGACGGCGGUGUUUGGCACCUCGAUGUCGGCUCAUCACAUCCUGGGGCUGAAGUAGGUCCCAAGGGUAUGGCUGUUCGCCAUUUAAAGUGGUACGCGAGCUGGGUUUAGAACGUCGUGAGACAGUUCGGUCCCUAUCUGCCGUGGGCGCUGGAGAACUGAGGGGGGCUGCUCCUAGUACGAGAGGACCGGAGUGGACGCAUCACUGGUGUU
rnacentral:rRNA from 1 species